rnacentral:rRNA from 1 species
AGCAUGUGGAUUAAUUGGAAGCAACGCGCAGAGCCUUACUAUGGUGUUUGACAUGCUUGGAUAGACUGCCUGGAAACAGGUUAGUAUCCCCUUCGGGGUGAAACUUGCACAGGUGCUGCAUGGCUGUUGUCAGAUCGUGUCGUGAGAUGUCGGGUUAAGUCCUUUAACGAGCGAAACCCUUACCGUUCGUUGCCAGCGGGUAAUGCCGGGUACUCUAACGGGACUUCCGGUGUCAAACCGGAGGAAGGUGGGGACGACGUCAAGUCAUCAUGGCCUUUAUGCCCUGGGCCUCACACGUGCUACAAAGGCGGCGACAAAGCGACGCGAGACCGCGAGGUGGAGCAAAUCGCAAAAACGUCGCCUCAGUUGGGAUUGCAGGCUGGCAAUUCGCCUGCAUGAAGUUGGAAUCGCUAGUAAUCGCGUAUCAGUUAUGACGCGGUGAAUGUGUUCUUGAGCCUUGUACACACCGCCCGUCAAGUGAUGGGAGUUGGGAGUACCCGAAGUCGGUUUGCCAACCCGUAAGGGACGUGGCUGCCUACGGUAAGCCCGA